ACCACAAUGGUCAUUUGAAAGGGAUGCUAAUCCUGAGACUUAUGCCCAAGUUUAGAGUGCCAGAGUUAUCGUUCUAGAGUUGAUUGUAUUCUCCAGGGAAUUCUGGGCUCAGCCUCUCAUAAAGGAUAAUUUUGUGAUACUUCCCUUUAUUUCUCCUACCCCAUCUACAAUAAGAGUUCAGAAGACUGCGACGUGUAGAUCUCUGGGAUUUCAUGGGGCUACCCACAUAGAUUUUCAGGACUCAAGUUUUUAGGCACUUAAAGUUUUUUUGAUGCUGUGUGUGGUGGUUCUCACCUGUAAUCCCAGCUGCUUGGGAGGCUGAGGCAGGAGGAUCGCAAGUUUGGGGCCAAUUUAGUGAGCCCAUAUCUCAAAAUUUAAAAAAAGGGUUGGGGAUAUGGCUCAGUGGUAGAGUACCCAUUGGUUUAAUUCCCACUACCAAAAUUUUUUUGUUUUGUUUUGUGUACUUUUUUGUACUAUGUGUUAGACAUAGUAACUCUUUCAAAUACAUUCUAUUAUUAUCCCCAUUUUACAUACAGUACAAAGAAAGAGAUAUGGAGAGGUUAAGUAACCUUGACUGAUGUCACAAGAAGUGGUAGAAACAGGUUAAAACCCCCACAUCACUGGUUCCUGUAUCUGUUUGCCUGACCUGGUCCAACAAUCUUGAGACCAGGACCUAUUGAUUUAAAAUUUGUCAUCUGUUCUUUCCAUCUUUUUUUUUCUUUUUUUUUUUGUGGGGGGGGCCACUACCAGUGAUUGAACUCAGGGCCACUCAACCACUAAGCCACAUCCCCAUCCCUAUUUUGUAUUUUAUUUAGAGACAGGGUCUCACUGAGUUGAUUAAUGAACUCAGGAUCCUCCUGUCUCAGCCUCCUGAGCUGCAGGGAUUAUAUGCAUGCACCACCAUGCCCAGCCACAUAUUUUAAGGGGAAAGAAAUCACCAACUUUAUAAACUUACCUGGUCAGUGGUAUCUUAGAAGAUUAUAGCAGUGGGAUUGCUUGGUAAAAUUAUUCUCUUUGUAGAAGGAACCUUAGAAAUUCUCUUCCUUGGUGGUGUUUUUUUCUUUUUUUACUGUUUGAGGACCUGAGGUUUGUGGCUACAUCUUCCACUUUUUACUAUGGGGAGGACCCAAUUAUUUCAGAGGCUAACUUGUAGUACCAACUUUACACUUCUGCUUAUGGGAGAUAAUAGACUUCUAGUGUUCAAGUCACUUUUAGUUAGGUACACAAUUAUUUGUAGCCAAGCCUUUAUCUUCCUGCUCCAAUCUGAACUGGUUGCCCUCUAGAAUGUUGUUAAGCUGUAAUCUUAGGGAUUUCCUGCAGUCUCGUUGUAAGAUUUCCUUCAUCUCUCUAAUUUUGGGCCCCUAUUUCCUGAAUCUUUUGGCCUUUUUAAAUUUUUAUUUACUCCCUUAAUGCUGAAGGAAAUCCUUUUGCGGCUUUCUGAGAAAGGGUGACUGAGAGCUAGAUUUUUAAUUUGUAGUGUCAGAAUAUGUCAUUGUUUUAUAGUUGAUUGGAGGGGACAAGCACUCAAACACUUAGCAGUUAGAAAAGAGCCAAGAGUCGAAGUUUGCAGUGUAGGUGCUCCCUUAAUCUAUUUUUAGUUCUCUGCCUUACUCUAGCUCUCUUUUCUCAGGCUCAGUCUUUCUAAAUAGAUUUAUUUGUUUUUCUUCCCAUCACAAACACUUAAGUACUACACUGUAUUGGCUGUUACUCUUUUCCCUUAGUGACCAGGAAUUCCUCAUGUGUUCCUUGUUUGUGAGGCCAAUCAUUUUUUAAUAUUUUCUCUUGGAACAGGGAGCAGAAUAAUUUUAUUUGUUCUUAAUACUUAAUUAAUCUUAUGAAUUUAUUGUACUUUAAAAAUUAAACAUUCCUUUAAAUAUUCACAUACUAUAUGGAAUUAGCAAAAUAAAUUUCCCUGAGCAUUUAAGUAUUGCAAACCUAAGGAUUUCUAAACAUUUAAUUAAAAUUGCAAAUCCAAUUUAUAAAAUUCUCUUGGUUUUUAAAUUAUUAUUUUAUAUGUAUGUAUAUAAUUUUUUUAGUUGUGAGUGUACACAAUACUUUUAUCUAUGUGGUGGCGAGGGUCAAACCCAGGGCCUCGCACAUGCUACGUGCUGGGUGAGCGCUUAACCACUAAGCCACAACCCCAGCCCCCAGCCCUAGUCCUUUUUGUUUUGAGUUGGGGUCUCAAUUGUUGAGGCUGACCUUGAAUUUGUGAUCCUCCUGCUUCAGC
rnacentral:lncRNA from 1 species